GAGGGUGUAGCUCAAGUGGUAGAGUGCAUGCCUAGCAUGCAUGAGGUCCUGGGUUCAAUCCCCGGUACCUUCA
rnacentral:tRNA from 1 species